GCCCCGAUAGCUCAAUGGUAGAGCGCGGCUUUCGUAAAGCCGAGGUUGUCGGUUCGACCCCGACUCGGGGCU
rnacentral:tRNA from 1 species